rnacentral:rRNA from 1 species
GACGUAGGGGGCCAGCGUUGCUCGGAAUUACUGGGCGUAAAGGGUUCGUAGGCGGUGCGGCAAGUUGGGAGUGAAAUCUCUGGGCUUAACUCAGGGGCUGCUUUCAAAACUGCCGCGCUCGAGUGCGAGAGAGGUCAGUGGAAUUGCAGGUGUAGCGGUGAAAUGCGUAGAUAUCUGCAGGAACACCCGUGGCGAAGGCGGCUGACUGGAUCGCAACUGACGCUGAGGAACGAAAGCUAGGGGAGCAAACAGG